GGCACGGAAAGUGAACAGGAACCGAACUAAGGCUUGCGAGGGCGCAUCUAGCCCGUACGCCCGCGUAAGUGGCCUUCCGCCCGCGCUGGGACGUGGCGCUGGCCCGCCGGCGGGCCAGCACCGGUGCAAGCCACAGGCGCCCGGGCGGCGGCGCAGAAGUGGCGUAGAGCCCUACGCCGACGCAGGGGGGGGCGGGGAGCAAGGCGGGGUCAGAGUUAGUCCGCUCCCUAAGCUCCUCCAGAAGCGGGAACGCCCACAGCGGCGCAAAAAAGCUACGCCACGGAAAAAGAAGGCGUAGCCCAUAGGCGUCCAUGGAACGGCGAAAAAUCAGCCCCCUCUCUGAGCGCCUCGCCCCGCCCCUAUGGCCCGAAGGAGCAUAGGAUGAGAACUAUCCCGGGGACCAAUCAGCGUGCGCGCCCGGCGUGGACGAGCCCCCCUCUCUGCACCCAAUCACCUGCGACCGCGCCCUACAAAACAUCCGGCCAGCGCCACCCAAACCCCCAGGUGCCCUGACUCUGGCGCUCCCACCUGGUGAUGACCGACGGAGCGCUGACAGGCACGUCCAGGGCAUGGCUGCUCCCCCGCGCCCCGCCCUCCCCAAACAUCUCUGACGGACGGUUGGCUGCAGCCCAGGAAGCACCGUCGCGCCGCGGCCUGCAUCCCAGCCCCGCCCCUCCGAGCGGGAAGGAGGGCUGUGUGGAAUGCUCCAGCUCCCUCGCCAGCCUAAACGCAAGCCCGCUCUUUCCAGUGCAAUAAAACGAGAUGUACAACAA